GAUGAAGAACGCAGCGAAAUGCGAUAAUUAAUGUGAAUUACAGAAUUCCGUGAAUCAUCGAGUCUUUGAACGCACAUUGCGCCUCAUGGCAUUCCGUGAGGCAUGCCCAUCUCAGCGUCAGAAAAUAUUCUCAAAUUUUAGUUUUGUGCUAAAAUUUGGAUCAUGUCAAGGAAGCUAUUACUAUUAUUGUGAUCGCUCUUUGGAAAUUGAUAGGUCUUUGAGUUGCUACUCAUAGAACGUGAUGAAUCUUUCUUCGUUCUAUUGUAAUUCACUCUGGUAGUCCUAAAACUUGUAUGCCUGUGGCAUAUCUUGUAAUUUGACCUGAGAUUGGGUAGGGAUACCCGCUGAACUUAAGCAUAUCAAUAAGCGGAGGA
rnacentral:misc_RNA from 1 species